GGCCUUUGCAGAUCAGUUAGUUAAUUCUUUUUUGGAAGAGUACUAGCAAGUUGAUACUUUUUCAUUCUGUUGGCUAAUUAAGCUUAUUCUAAUUUGCAAAGAGAAGUCCUCUGGAAAAUUGACAGUGAAAGCACACCAUGACCUUAAUCUGAAUGCUCACACUCCUUCAGCUCUGCAUUAGAUUCUAGCUAGUAGGAUAACAUAUUUUGAAUACUAUCUUCA
rnacentral:lncRNA from 1 species